UACGUAGGGGGCUAGCGUUGUCCGGAAUCAUUGGGCGUAAAGCGCGUGUAGGCGGCCCGAUAAGUCAGACGUGAAAUCCCUCAGCUUAACUGGGGAACUGCGUCUGAUACUGGAUGGCUUGAGUGUAGGAGAGGAAUGCGGAAUUCCAGGUGUAGCGGUGAAAUGCGUAGAUAUCGAGAGGAACACCUGCGGCGAAGGCGGGUUGCUGGGCUGACACUGACGCUGAAGUGCGAAAGCUAGGGGAGCGAACGGG
rnacentral:rRNA from 1 species